CUUCACCUGUGUGUCUUGUUGUAACACCCCUCCCCCCCUUUGAAUUUCUUACCCCUAAUGUGCUCUAGUGUAUUUUAUUCCCCCUUUGUAUAUAUCUUACUUCCCACCACAUCCUUUGUGUGUCUCUUCCCUCCAGCCCCUUUCUGGGUCUCUUUCUUACCCCAGCCCCUUUCUGGGUCUCUUUCUUACCCCAGCCCCUAUCUGGGUCUCUUUCUUACCCCAGCCCCUUUCUGGGUCUCUUUCUUAACCCAGCCCCUAUCUGGGUCUCUUUCUUACCCCAGCCCCUUUCUGGGUCUCUUUCUUACCCCAGCCCCUUUCUGGGUCUCUUUCUUACCCCAGCCCCUUUCUGUGUCUCCUUCUUACCCCAGCCCCUUUCUAUGUCUCUUUCUUACCCCAGCCCCUUUCUGGGUCUCUUUCUUACCCCAGCCCCUUUCUGGGUCUCUUUCUUACCCCAGCCCCUUUCUGGGUCUCUUUCUUACCCCAGCCCCUAUCUGGGUCUCUUUCU